rnacentral:rRNA from 1 species
GAUGAACGCUGGCGGCGUGCCUAAUACAUGCAAGUCGAGCGAACAGACGAGGAGCUUGCUCCUCUGACGUUAGCGGCUGACGGGUGAGUAACACGUGUAUAACCUACCUAUAAUUCUGGUAUAACUUCGGGCAACCGGAGCUAAUACCGGAUAACAUGUUGAACCGCAUGGUUUAACAUUGAAAGACGUUCUUUCUGUCUCUUAUAGCUGGUUCCGCGCCGCAUUAGCUAGUUGGUAAGGUAACGGCUUACCAAGGCAACGAUGCGUAGCCGACCUGAGAGGGGGAUCGGCAAAACUGGAAGGGAGACACGGACAAGACUCCGACGGGAGGCAGAAGAAGGGAAUAUGAGGCAAUGGGCGAAAGCCUGACGGAGCAACGCCGAGGGAGUGAAGAAGGUCUUCGGAUCGUAAAACUCUGUUAGUAGGGAAGAAAAAAAGUGGAAGUAAAUAUGCACGUAGUGACGGUAACUAAUCAGAAAGCAACGGCUAACUACGUG